AGAGGCACUUGAAAGCGAAACCGGUGGGGUUUAAUGACAGCAUUUUCCACAUUUUUAUGAUAAUGACUCUGGUGUUUAUUGGAAGGUUAGAGACUCAGCCGAGCAGGAAAACAAAGCAAUCGGAGAGGCCAGAACUGCAAUGGGGCCUCUGCACUCUUGGCCAUUAAUGCCUGUUCUAUACAUGACAUUUUUUGGCCAUUUGGGCUCUCCAGCAUGUCCCUGUGGGAGUAUGAGAGGAUGGAGGUGACAUCACUUGGGAUGAAGAGGAACAAAGCCUGCCCUCCUGCACUCUGCAAACUCAUCCAACUCUGCUAAUUGGGAUCAUCCUGUUCUUCAUGCUGGGAAACUGAGGCACAGAGAGUUCAGCACAUUGCCAAGGACCACACAAGGGGAUGGAAGUUUGGCCCGAGUAACUUGGAGCCUCCUGCUCCAAGGGUCUUCACCGGGACAUUGCCUGGCUCUGCCUUCCUGUGCAGGUUGGCCUUGGAGAGAUGGACACAAAUCAGCCAAAAGCAGCUUCACCGCUGUGAAAUCAGCUGGAGGCACAAACCUGAAGCUGAAGGUUGGAGAAGGGGGUCCAGUCACGUGGAAGUUAAACAGAAGGCAGUGAAGUCUCCAAAGGAUAAUAAACUAUCUCGAAUUACUUUGCUAAUGGAACAAAGAGUACUGUAAAUGUCACACAGGAUAGAACAAGAGCAGGAGAAACCUUUACAUGAAACAAUGGAUCCAUUAGCACAAAGGUAAGGAAAAAACCCCACAGACUUGUGAUACUUGUGCAGAGCUUCACGGAGUCGCUGCUCCAAGCCAAGGGAAUUUGUUUCCUCACUUGGAUUCUGGGCUGAGCUCACACCACAAUCACCCACACUCUCAAGGCAUUGAUCCUUUAGGAUUUCAAAGCCCUUUACAGACAAUAGUUAAACCCCAGGUGAGUCAGCGAAAUUAUUUCUGCUUCAAACUGAGGUGCAGAGAAGGAAUCAUUGAAUCACUGAUGGGAGAUCAAAACCAAACAGAGGUCCAGACCCAGCAAAUGCGCUGAG
rnacentral:lncRNA from 1 species